rnacentral:rRNA from 1 species
AGGAUCAUUAUCAUACAAUGGAGGUGCAAGGGUUGUCGCUGACCUUUUAAAGGUCGUGCACGCCCGAAGCACACUCCCACACAUCCAUCUCACCCUUUGUGCACAACCGCGUGAGUCCCCUCGGAAGGGGAGGCCCACGUUUUUUCACACAAACCUUAAAGCAGUGUAGAAUGUAUUUUCUUUUUUGCGGUGAUACGCGAUCAAUACAACUUUCAACAACGGAUCUCUUGGCUCUCGCAUCGAUGAAGAACGUAGCGAAAUGCGAUAUGUAAUGUGAAUUGCAGAAUUCAGUGAAUCAUCGAAUCUUUGAACGCACCUUGCGCCCCUUGGCAUUCCGAGGGGCACACCCGUUUGAGUGUCGUGUAAUCAUCAAAACCUUUUCUUUGAUCAUUUUGGUCAGGAAAGGGAUUUUGGACUUGGAGGAUCGAUGCUUGCUCUCACCUCUUGAAAGCGAGCUCCUCUCAAAUAAAUUAGUGGGGGUUUGCUUCGCCGAUCCUUGACGUGAUAAGUCGUUUCUACGUUUCGGAUUUGGUCGGACACCUGCUUCUAACCGUCCUAUGGACGACGAUGGCGUUCCGGUCACCUGGAACCCAUAAGAAAACCUUGACCUCAAAUCGGGUGAGACUACCCGCUGAACUUAAGCAUAUCAAUAAGCGGAGGAAAAGAAACUAACAAGGAUUCCCCUAGUAACUGCGAGUGAAGCGGGAAAAGCUCAAAUUUAAAAUCUGGUGGUCUUUGGCCAUCCGAGUUGUAAUUUAGAGAAGCGUCUUCCGCGCUGGACCAUGCACAAGUCUCCUGGAAUGGAGCGUCAUAGAGGGUGAGAAUCCCGUCUUUGGCAUGGACACACCAGGGCUUCAGUGAUGCGCUCUCGAAGAGUCGAGUUGUUUGGGAAUGCAGCUCAAAAUGGGUGGUGAACUCCAUCUAAAGCUAAAUAUUGGCGAGAGACCGAUAGCGAACAAGUACCGUGAGGGAAAGAUGAAAAGCACUUUGGAAAGAGAGUGAAACAGUACGUGAAAUUGUUGAAAGGGAAACGCUUGAAGUCAGUCGCGUCGGCCGAGACUCAGCCUUGCCUCGGCUUGGUGUAUUUCUUGGUCGACGGGUCAGCAUCAAUUUUGCCCCUUGGAUAAUGGUGAGGGAAAUGUGACACCUUCAUAGGUGUGUUAUAGCCUCUCAUCGCAUGCAAGGGUCUAGGAUUGAGGAACUCAGCAUGCACCUUCGGGUGUCGGGACU